rnacentral:rRNA from 1 species
UACGUAGGGGGCGAGCGUUGUCCGGAUUUACUGGGCUUAAAGCGCGUGUAGGCGGCUUCUUAAGUCGGGUGUGAAAGCCCGGGGCUCAACCCCGGGAUGCCGCCCGAGACUGGGAGGCUUGAGGUCGGAAGAGGGGAGUGGAAUUCCAGGUGUAGCGGUGAAAUGCGUAGAGAUCUGGAGGAACACCCGUGGCGAAGGCGGCUCCCUGGUCCGGUUCUGACGCUGAGACGCGAAAGCGCGGGGAGCGAACGGG